GUACACGCUGUGACUAGCAUAUCAAUAAGCGGAGGAAAGGAAACUAACAAGGAUUCCCCUAGUAACGGCGAGUGAAGCGGGAAGAGCUCAAAUUUGAAAUCUUAAAGGGUUUCCCUUUACGAAUUGUAGUUUAAAGAAGUGUUUUCUGUUGAGGUUUUGGUAAAAGUUCUUUGGAAUAGGACAUCAUAGAGGGUGAGAAUCCCGUAUUUGACCUUUACUUUCAACUUUGUGAUACACCUUCAAAGAGUCGGAUUGUUUGGGAAUGCAGUCCAAAAUGGGUGGUAAAUUUCAUCUAAAGCUAAAUAUUGGCGAGAGACCGAUAGCGAACAAGUACCGUGAGGGAAAGAUGAAAAGAACUUUGAAAAGAGAGUUAAACAGUACGUGAAAUUGUCAAAAGGGAAGCGUUUGACACCAGUGUUGUUUUUCUGAAAAUCAAUUAAAGAACUGUUUAUGCUAAGCUGUUUAGACUUUAUCAGCUAUCUGUCUAGUUUUGAGCUUUUCUUUAAUGCACUUUUCAGUUAACAAGUCAACAUCAAUUUCUUUUGCUGUAAAAAAGCUUGAGGAAGGUGGCUUGAGAUUCGUCUUAAGUGUUUAUAGCCUCUUGCCUAUGCAGUCGGAGAGAUUGAGGUCUGCAGCGUAGAUCCUUCGGGGCUAAAUGCAUUUGUGCUAAGUUAUAGCAUUUUAUAGACAACUUGUUGACUAUGAUUUGUCUUGUAGCUUACUCGCUUAUGUUAUUUUACCUACGCUUAGGAUGUUGAUAUGCAUGACUGAUAU
rnacentral:rRNA from 1 species